rnacentral:lncRNA from 1 species
CAUCAUUCUAAUUUAUCUUUAGAAUUUGUUUUUCCUUUUUUCCUGUUGGAGCUCACAUUUCCUUGGUUUUAUGCAAUCACAACUUGUUGCACAUUUUGAGCAUCCUUCCAUUUUUUCUUUCUCGUUGCUUUUUCACUCCUACCAUUUUAAGCAACUCUACUCCGAUUUUUUUUGCACUUUUUGCAACCACCUCCAGCCUUUCAAAAUGGCAUUUUCCUAAUGCCUUAAACUAAGUUUGAGUAUAAAUACGAACAAAAAAAAUCGGAUUAAAGAGGCUGGAAAGAGUGAAGAGAACCAAAAAGAAAAACCAGAUAGAGGAGGAAAAUGCAGAGAGAAAAAAGUAGAGCAAAACUGUAAAGUUUGAGAGCUAACAAUUACCCCUAAACAUCGUUGUGUUUGCAUCAUAUCCACUAUUUCACCACCUAAAAUCAAAACACCACUUUCAUUCCGAAC